UACGGAGGGAGCUAGCGUUGUUCGGAAUUACUGGGCGUAAAGCGCACGUAGGCGGCUUUGUAAGUUAGAGGUGAAAGCCCGGGGCUCAACCCCGGAAUUGCCUUUAAGACUGCAUCGCUUGAAUCCAGGAGAGGUGAGUGGAAUUCCGAGUGUAGAGGUGAAAUUCGUAGAUAUCGUGAGGAAGACCAGUUGUGAAGGCGGAUCUCUGGGCAGUUCCUGACACUGAGGCACGAAGGCCAGGGGAGCAAACGGG
rnacentral:rRNA from 1 species